AGAGUAUUUGGAGUACCUAGAAAAUAAAUUUUAUUAUUUUUCGAUAUCAUUUGCCUAGUGAUCGAAUGAGCUCAAAAUCAACAAAUUUCAAUGGUCGUAGUGUGCCGUUUGCAAGUUUAACGGUGUAGAAAUAUCCAAAUCACGUGAAAUUUUGAUAGAAAAUUCUUUAUACUAUAUAAAACAAGAUCAAUAACUUUGAUUUAAAAUUUUAAUGUCAUAUUAUUACAUUUUGUAAGAUUUUUAUUUUCAGCCGUUGAUUUUGAACCCCUUCGUUCACUAGGCAAAUGAUAUCGUAAAAUUAUAAAAUUUAUUUUCUAGGUACUUCAAAUACUCUAGAUCAAGUUUAACGGAGUCGAUCGACAAUUCGAAAGUCGCAACAUCGAAAACAAGCUGGAAGCACGGAAGACUUCGUGCUUCCGAUAGCAUAGUAACCUCACUCAUAUAUAUAUAUAUAUAUAUAUGAGGUUACUAUACUUCUGGAAGCACGCUCGACCCGGUUUGUUUAUAUACGAGAGCACAGGAGGCGCGAUCUAAACAUCGAUCACAUGAUGAGCAAUCCAGCUGGCAAGAUCUGCUAGCAUACCAGAUAUUUUAUUUAGUUAUAUAAACUGUGAAUAUCCCCACUUUAAGUGGUAAAUAUUAUAUAUACACAUCCUCGGACUGAAGAUGUUAAGAUUUCCUUAAAUUUUUAUAUAGUUUAAUUCUAGUUAGAUUAGAAUAAAUUGUAAAUUUGUAAUAAAUAAAUCAAGUAGAAUUUUGUUAAGAUUUCGUUAAAUUUAUUGUUUAAUUCUAGUUAGAUUAGAAUAAAAAUUUAAAUUUGUAAUAAAUAAGUCAAGUAGAAUUUAUAUCUAGACUAGGGUACGUAAAAAUUUAUAUAUAUAUAUAUAUAUAUAUAUAUAUAUAUAUAUAUAUACCCAUCUAAUCAAUUAUUUUUCUUAAAUUUAUUCAUCUCAUCAUCAUGAUUAUUAAAAAAAUAUUUUUAUUAUAUUUUUUUUCAAACAAAAAGAUUUAGUUAACUGAGUAUUGAUAAUAUGAUAUAUAUAAAUGUUACGUAGUAAACUUUCUCUAUAAUGAGAAGGAAAUGAGAAGGAAGUCUAUAUUAUAGUACUUACAUCAUGUCAUCAAUAAACAACCAAUUAUACCUCUUCAUUUCUAAAUGAUGCGAUGGUUGAAUCCAAAUAGACAAUAUGAUUGGUUGGAAAUUCUACGUCAGUAAUAUAAUUAUUGUAUUUAGAUUUUUUUUCCUUUAAUAAGAUCUUUACUUAUAUACUUUUCUAAUUAUGGUGGCGUAAAUGUCGCGCUACAUUGUUCCCCCUGACCCUCAUGUUCCAACUUUAAUAUUAAAAAAAGAAAAAAAAUCAAAUGAAAAUCCGGUUCGUCCAAUGACAAUGAUGUCCCUUUCAAUCACACCCGAUCGGCCAACCGACAAUCCAACGGCCAACCGACCGUCCCUAAAGCAAAUAACAAAGGAUUUGGUGGUUGAUACUCGAGAUCCGAAUCUUAGUUGAUUCACAUUUCUAGUUAAGUUUAUUUCUAAAUAAAAUAAACGAAGCGGGUAGCGUGCUACCUAUCUCUCUCUCUCAAAAAAAAAAGAAAAAAAGAGAGACAAUCCAACGGUCACGGCGCAAUAUCAACCUGCUGCUAAUUUUGGAAAGACAUUGCGUGGUGGAUCCCACACGUAAACAUGAAGUCUCAGCAACUAGAUUUGGAAUCACCAGGAACAAAACAAACAACACUGCAGCUAAAUUAUAUGAGAAUAUUACUAACCGUACUUAGCACAAAUAGUAAAAAAUUUAAUGGUUGAUAUCUCAUGAUGUCUCAAAUUGAAAACUUAGUUGUUUCAUGUUUCCGGCUAAAUUUAUUUUUAAAAAAAUAAAACGAAAUGAAUAGUAUACUAUCUUAAGCUUCUUUUUCAUACAUAGAAUUUUACGGAACUUUAAAAAUAUUACAAAAAAUACUUGACAAACAUAAGAUAAAAAAGAAAAACACAAGAGAUGUAUUACACAUAUUGAAAUCACCUCACCAAAGCAUAUUCAAUUGAACGCGAGUCAUUACUUAAAAAUAAUAAAACAUCUUCAUUAAGAAAAAAAAGAAAAAGAAAAAGAGAGAGUACUAAUUGAGCCAUUCUCGUGGAGGACCUAUUUUAAUCCUUAUUCGGUGAAGGAAUCGCUCAUCAGAUCAUCGAGACAAUGCCCACGUACCUGAGUAUCAUUUGAGCCAUUCUCAUCCCACACAAAAUUACACAGGUAUGUAGGUAUAGGAGGAAUGUUGACCUCUUGAACUCCCUCCAGCAUCUGAACAACUAGUCCCAUUGCUGGCCUACUGCUUUCAAGUUCUUGAAUGCACCAACAAGCAACUCUACAUGCUCUUUCGAGCUCUUCACUGUAAGCUUCACCCUUCAAAUUGUUGUCUAACAAGCAUGCGACCUCGCCUUCGUGGAUUUUCGCCGCGGCCCAAGUAGGAAAAUACACAUACGUUCCGUCUUCCGACCUCUCCGUGUUUCUCCUGCCGGAUAUUAUCUCAAAAAGCAUCAUCCCGAAGCUAUAAACGUCGGCCUUGUGCGUGAUAGCUAGCCCCGAUAUCCACUCCGGCGCGAGAUAUCCUAUUGUCCCCCUCAUAGUUGUCAGGACCCGGCUUCCGUCUCUCGUGAAGAGCUUCGCCAUGCCGAAAUCUGCGAUUCUUGGACAGAAUUUCUCAUCCAAGAGUAUGUUUUCCGGUUUAAUAUCACAGUGUAUGAUGAAGUCCUUGCAUUUCUCAUGGAGAUAAGCUAAGCCUCUCGCAAUUCCAAUUGCUAUUCGGUAUCGCUGGUUCCAAUCUAAGAAGGUAUCGGAAUUAGUUUUUGAAAAUAAGUGAGAGUCUAAAGAGCCGUUCGUCACGAACUCGUAGACGAGCAAUCUUCUAGUUCCUUCCGCACAAAAGCCGAGGAGGCGAACUAUGUUAAUAUGUUGAAUCAUGCCGACCGUGAUCACCUCUGCUCUGAAUUGCUUCUCUCCCUGCCUGAGUCCUUCAAGUUUCUUCACGGCCACAAGCGUUGAAUCACGCAACGUCCCCAUGAAAACACUUCCGAAGCUCCCUUGGCCCAGCUUCUUUGAGAAAUUCUUGGUAGCACUCUUCAGAUCAGAGUAGAAGAACACUCGAAAACUCUUCAAAUAAAUUGGGUCUGUAGUGCGCGAUCUUUUCUUGCAUCUCCAAGUAACGAUCAAACCGACAGCCAAGACAGUCGCAGUCCCUAAUACUACACCUAAGGUCAGUCCUAUCGGCGGCCGCUCUGGAUGCUUAUUUCUUCUCCGAGAAUCUAUUUCUGUUCGUAUGCUAAUUGACCAGCCAUCUGAGCAAUAAUCGCAUUGGGUCGAAUUGAUCAAAUCUCCGUGCCACAACUUGCAGUCGAAACGAAAAGAGAAAGCGGUGCAAGAACAAUUGCUUGUGCAGGCAGAUUCACAUCCUUCAUAAUCAUUGGCAGGGAAACUUUGAGGAUUAUCAGGAAAUCUCUUUAAAAAAUACACCAUAUAGCUCGAAUUCUCGUUCUUGCAAUUCAGAGGGAUAACUCUACGACAUCCACUGCUGUAAUCCCCUCCUUCCCAAGAUUGUGGGUUUGUCGGUAAAAACCCUGCUGGGCAUAUGCAUUGCAUACUUGCUGUGUCACAGAUGCCAAAAGGCCCACAGUAGAAACCAACACCGCAGGAAUAAAAGGGAUACUUCUGAAUUAAGAGCCCCACGGGGGGAUUCUCUGACCAUUUAUACCUGUUAAGCCCAUUAAUAUCCAAAAAAAAAAUAGUGUAGCCAUCUAUGCCAUGGAAAGAGAAAGUGCCUUUUUGGCUAUCUUGAUGAAUAUCUAUCACGGUAGGAACAGCUAAAUGCUGGACAGAGUGAUCAUACUCACCUGAUCCGUUCGUUUGUAACACGAACUGGGGACUUCCAACUGUCUCUACAUCGAGUGAAAAGUAGUAGGAGGUUAAGAAGAUGUGAUUCCCGGUGGACCGGUCAAACCCAAGUGGUGCUCCUGGGAGCCACGUAUCGGAUGGGUGAUCAAAGCUCUGCCAUAACACAUUUGAAGCGUUAAGUCCAUCUCGCAGAACGAGGUUUCCGCUGUCUAGCAGAACUGCAACUGUCGAAUUACUCGCCGCCGGUGAUGUCACGUUGGUCGACCAAAUUAAACUGCCAUCUUUGGAGAGGAGGAUUAAAUUACCGUCAUCGGAGAUACUUAGCUGCAAAUCGGCGAUGGUGACUACGGUGCUAUCUAUAUAUGCAGACCAAACUGUGAGCCCGAGAUUAUAUUUCCGGCACCAAAUGGUAAGGCCAAGUAUGUAGAUAUCAUCUGGCGUGGGCACCCUCAGCUCGAAAUCUCCGUUUUUGGAGACGAUGGACUGGUUACCGGCGAGAGGAUUGCCGGCGGUGAUGGUGUCACGUAGUGCCACGACAGCACGGAGGUUGCAACAGCAGAAAACAAAUACGGAAGCGAGGAGAAACAGCAGCUUUGGCUCUUCGGAGUUCAUCAGAGGUCUCUUCAAGAGAAUCUGGGGAUUAUUUGCAGAACAAAACUCCGCAUGCAGCAACCUCAAACGAAGAUGAUAAAAAGAUCCAAGUUUUCGAAAUGCGCCUUCUCUUGUUUGGUUCAUGUGCAAAAUUUGUGGAGCACACUAAAGUUUGAAUCCUAUUGGUGGGCUCGUAUGCAGCUUCCUCCAAGUCAAAGUGGUAGACUCUCUUGACCGACUCUUUACUUUUCUACAGUCAAAUUAAGUGCCCAUCUUUCUAGCACGAGGACUCUUUUUUUUUUUUUUUUUUAAAUGCUAUUAACACAUACAAAAAAUAGAUAAAUAUUUUACUGUUCAUAGUGCAAGGGUUUAGACAACCAUUUUAAAAACAUACAAAAAAUAGAUAAAAAUUUUACUGUUCAUAAUGCAAGGGUUUAGACAACCAUUUUAAAAUUUUUUAUAUUUAUAAAGUAAAAAAAAUGAUAAAAUUACGGUAGAAAAAUUGACCCUUCAAUGGUAUGAAUGGAUGAGUUCUUGGCAAAUAUUUGCUCCUCUUAAUUUUAACAUCCCAAAACCUUUUAAUAUAGAAGAUUUGGGACAUAAAUUUAGAAUCCCUUAGAACGAAGAGAAUUAUAAACUACAUAUAAUACCGUGUUAUCCAAAAUAUAGUUAUCAUAAAAAAUAAUUCGGCGUUAAGCUUAACGGUAUAUACUUUAUUCAGUCAAUAAUAUAACGGAUAAAAAUCGAUUGAGAUAAGGGUCAAUGAAAUGUAAUGCGGAUCCAAUUACUCAUUCAUUUCACCCAAAGUAGCGGUGUAAACAAGCUGAACACGAGCGAGCUGGACGUCCGCCUCAUGUUCGCCUCGUUUAAUAAACGAGCCGAACAUGAGCUAGCUUGUUAAAGUAUCGAGCCGAAAAAUUUAGCUCGUGUUCAGCUCGCUGGCCAACGAACAAUAAGUUAAAAGGAUUAGAUUGAAUAUAUAUAAAAAAUAAAUUUAUAAAAUCUUAUCCAUUAGACUUUGAUCUAAUAGUUGAAAUUUUACAUAUAAAUGAAUCUUUUUAUAAUUAAGCUUGUAUUUAUAUUUUUAUUUUGCUAAAAAUUAAAUAAUAAAAAUAUAUAUUAUAUAUAUAAUUAUUUAUUUAUAUAUAUAAAUAUAAAUUAAAUAAAUUAUAUAAAUAUAAAAUAUAUGUAUUCGAGUUGUUUUUGAGCCGAACACGAGCGAGCUAACCCCAGCUUGUGUUCGACUCGUUUAAUAAACGAAUCGAAAAAUUCAGCUCGUGUUCAGCUCGUUUACUAAAUGAACGAUUCGAUUUCAAGCUCAUUUCGAGCCGAACACGAGCUGGCUCGCGAACAGCAAGCUAAAUUGCCACCCCUAACCCAAAGUAAAUCUUAACACAUUGGCCUAGAUCGUGACACAUUAUUUGUCGAACACGAACCAUCUAGCCAGUGAAUAACCAUCCAUCCACUGGGCCUCAACAGUGGAUAUCUAGUCCCGUCUCAUUUAAUUUUGUUGGAAUAGUCUACUGCUGUGAGAUCACCAAAUCCAUUAUUCAUCAUUUUUUACAAUAUUAAAAUUUUUAGCUUCACUCCGCCUUACUCGAUCGCUUUUCCGUUUCUGUUUCUUUGUUUCUUUGUUUUACUUCUUUUUGCUCGUUUCUUUUUUUUCGAAAGCCCUAGUUGCUUCCAACUUAUAUGCUCAGUUCAUUUUGCUUAAUAAAUGAAAUAGGUAGCUUGCUAUUUUUUAAAAAAAAAAAAAAAUUAAAACGGUCUUGUAUUAGAGACUUACUCUACAGAAAUUUUGACAGAAAAUAAGUACCAAACAAAGGACAUGAUGUCCAUUAUGUAUUGGAAAUAUCCUCCAAUAGGUAAUACCUAACUAAUAAUUGAUAAUGGAAGCGUAGCAGUUAAUCAUGUCCACGCUGUUUUCUUCAUAUCCUUUUUCCAAAUAAUGGUGGCGUGGCGCGCUAUAUCGUAUCUAAUUCAAUACUCAUUCCCGAUUUAUUUAUUUUUUUAAUAAAAGAAAAUUGAAAAUAAAAAAAAAUUAUUUCGUUCGUCCAAUUAUGAUUGUGCGCCUCUAAUAGUCCAAUCACACCGCGAUGGACAACCAUCAAAUUAAAAUACCAGAAAACGCCGCGCAUGCUUUGUGAUUCUAACGGCCGCACAAAGGAAAAUGUUGUAAAGAGAAUAUGAGAAAAUUGAGGGACUAACUAGUUUUAACAGGUUCAAACACUAAAUUUUCAAUACGACAGAAAGAAACUGCAUGCGAAUGACUAUGUAUAUAUAUCCACGCACGCUUGACCCAGUUUGUCUAUAUACGAGAGCACAGGAGGCGCAAUCUAAACGUCGAUCACAUGAUGAGCAAUCCAGCUAGCAAGAUCUGCUAGCAUACCAGAUAUUUUACUUAGUUAUAUAAACUGUGAAUAUCCCCACUUUAAGUGGUAAAUAUUAUAUAUAUACACAUCCUCGGACCGAAGGAGUUAAGAUUUCGUUAAAUUUUUAUAUAGUUUAAUUCUAGUUAGAUUAGGAUAAAAAUUUAAAUUUGUAAUAAAUAAAUCAAGUAGAAUUUAUAUCUAGACUACGGUACGUAAAAUAUAUAUAUAUAUAUAUAUAUAUAUAUAUAUAUAUAUAUAUAUAUAUAUAUAUAUAUAUAAAUAAUUAGACUCUUAUAAUUAAUAUCUAUAUUUUUGAUGUGGCGUUCCCAUCCAAUCAAUUAUUUUUUUUAAAUUUACUCAUCCCAUCAUAAUUAUUAAAAAAUAUAUUUUUAUUAUAUUUUUUUUCAAGUAAAAAGAUUUAGUUAACUGUUUAUUGAUAAUAUGACAUAAAUGUUACGUAGAAAACUUUCUCUAUAAUGAGAAGGAAGUCUAUACUAUAGCACUUACACCACGUCAUUAAUAAAUAAUCAAUUAUAAACGUGUGGAGGCGUUGCGAAGGGACUUCUUCUGGAAGGGUCGGGCAAGCCCUUCAAGGGGAGGUUAUAUGGUAGCUUGGAAAAAAAUUUGUAUGAGUAAGAAUGAAGGGGGAUUAGGUGAUAUCUCAUGAUGUCUCAAAUUGAAAACUUAGUUGUUUCACAUUUCCGCGAAGUUUAUUUAAAAAAAAAUAAAACAAAAUGAAUAGCAUGCUAUCUUAAGUUUCUUUUUCACACAUAAAAUUUUACAGAACUUUAAAAACAUUACAAAAAAUACUUGACAAACAUAAAAAAAAAAAAAAAAAGAGAAAAGCACAAGAGAUUUAUUACACAUAUUGAAAUCACCUCACCAAAGCAUAUUCAAUUGAACGCGAGUCUUUACUUAAAAAUAAAACAUCUUCAUUAAGAAAAAAAAAGAAAAGAAAAAGAGAGAGUACUAAUUGAGCCAUUCUCAUGGAGGGCCUAAUUUAAUCCUUAUUCGGUGAAGGAAUCGCUCAUCAGAUCAUCGAGACAAUGCCCAUAAACCUGAGUAUUAAUCGAGUCAUUCUCAUCGUACACAAAAUUACAUAGGUAUGUAGGUAUAGGAGGCAUGCUGACCUCUUGAACUCCCUCUAGCAUCUGAACAACUAGUCCCAUGGAUGGCCUGCUGCUUUCAAGUUCUUGAAUGCACCAACAAGCAACUCUACAAGCUCUUUCGAGCUCAUCACCGUUUGCUUCACCCUUCAACUUGUUGUCUAACAAGCAUGCGACCUCGCCUUCGUGGAUUUUCGCCGCGGCCCAAGUAGGAAAAUACACAUACGUUCCGUCUUCCGACCUCUCCGUGUUNUCAAGUCAAACAGUCUUUGUGUUUCUGGAUCACCCGAACAGCAAACAGGCAGGAUCCAAAAGGUCUCAAAAGAUUCGGAUCCACUUUCGGGCGCCCAGAACAGGGUCCAGAAAUUGCAACUUUACAGAACACAGAAUUUGAGCAAUUUUGAAUAUUUAAAAGUCCUUUUCACCUAAUCAUAAGUUUAGAAUUUUGUUUAAGUGAUCUAUAAGGUGAUAAGAUGAAUAGUUUAAACUUAACUCAAAGUUUCUCACUCUAAUCAUAAGCAUAAUAUUAAUCAAUUAAGAAUGGAGAGAGUGAGUUUGUCUAUUUGACAAAAGAAGCAGACACAGCUUCAAGAGGUGAAGCUUGGUGCCAGAAUAUUGCCCAUCUUGAAUCUUUUUUGAAGAUAGAGAGAUCUAAAACACAAGACUCAAGAUAAAAAGAUUAGUCCAAUAAUCGUGAUUAUUUGUUAUCAUCAAAAUCUAAUAGACGAUUAGGGCCACUAGGCCAACAAUAAUUAUUAAAAAAAUAUUUUUAUUAUAUAUUUUUUUCAAAUAAAAUAAUUUAGUUAACUGGUUAUUGAUAAUAUAAUAUAAAUGUUACAUGGUAAAUUUUUCCUAUAAUGAGGAAUUCUCUCACUUCCAUCUUAUUAUAAAAAACCAACCAAUUAUCUCCUUAUUUAAAAAAGUAUAAAAAAAUAUUUUUUUAUUUAUCACGAUGGAUUAGAUGAACACAGAGGAACAAUAUAAUUGACUGGGGAGACCGUUUGGAAUGAUAUAUAUAUCUCCUCCGAGAAAAUCUUCAGGAUAAUAAUUAAUGGGUUAAUUACACCGGUAGUUUGCAACCUUUUCACCAAUUUUUACUUGAGUUCCUAACUCUUUUUUUUUGCAAUUGAGUUUCUAAUCUCUUGAUUUUAUUUCAAUUAGGUGCCAACCGUUAAAAAACUGUUAAAAAUAACGGAAUCACCACGUCAGCGCCUAUGUAACAACCUUGUGCAUGCCAAUUAGGUCCCUAAACUUUGCACAUUUUUCAUUUUAGUCCCUAAAAUAAAUUCAAAAUUUUAAAUUUAAAUUCAAAAAUAAUAUUAAACUUAAAAUUUUAAACUAACAAGAAAUUAGAAUUUUGAAUUUGAAUUUAAAACUGAAUUAAAAUUUUGAAUUGAAAUUCAAAUUUUAAAUUUAAAUUUUUAAUUGAAUCUAAAUUUUGAAUUCAAACUUAAAAUUUUGAUUUUGAUUUUGAUAUUUCAAUUUACAUUUAAAAUAAAAGUUUCGAAACCGAAAUUUAAAUUUAAAAUAUGAAUUUAAAUUUAAAAUCAUAUUCAAAAUUUUGAUUUUAAAUUUUAAAUUUGAAUUUAAAAUUUAAAUUUGAAUUUAAAGAUUUGAUUUCAAUUCUAAAUUUGAAUUUAAACUUCGAAUUCAAAUUCACAUUUUGAAUUUGAAAUUUCAAAUCGAAGUUUGAAAUUAAAUUAGAAUUUAGAAUUCCAAAUGUGAAUUUGAAUUUAAAAUUUAAAAUUUAAAAUUAAAUACAAAAUUGAAUUUUGAAUUCCAAUUUAAAUUUGAAUUCAAAAUCAAAAUUUAAAUCUUAAAUUAAAAUUUUUUUUUGAAUUUAUAAAUUUAAUAGGUUAAUUACACUAUUGGUCCUCAACCUUUGCACCAUUUUUCAAUUUGGUCCCUAACCUUUUUUUUUUUUGCAAUCCGCUGACACAGCGCCACCGUGGUGCUGACAUGGCGCCUCCGUGGCGCUGACGUCGGGCUGACAUGGCAUUUUCCGACAAUUUUAACAGUUAUCUAACGGUUGAGACUUAAUUGAAAUAAAAUCAAAAGAUGAGAGACUUGAUUGCAAAAAAAAACGAUUAGGGACUAAAUUGAAAAAUAGUGUAAAGAUUAGGGAUCAUUGGUAUGGAUAGUAAAUGGAACAGCGGGAGCUAAAAUCUUGUCUACGUUGUUUGUUUCUAAUAUUCUUUUCUAAUAAUGGUGGCUUAAAUGUCACGAUACAUUGACCCUGAGUUUUUUAACUUUACUCAUCCCAUUAUAAUUAUUAAAAAAUAUAUUUUUAUUAUAUUCCGGUUUUUUCAAUUACAAUGAUUUAGUUCACUGUUUAUUGAUACUCUGAUCUGCCUGUUACGUAGACAACUUUCUCUAUAGUGACGGCGGAAGAUCUAUACUAUAGCACUUGACCCCACGUCGUUAAUCAUUAAGUCAAUUAUCAACGUGUGGAUGCGUUGCGAAUGGCCUUGUACAAAAGAAACAACACAGCCGCUAAAUUAUAAAACCGUACUUAUUAGCGCAAGUGAUAAAAAAUUUGAUAAUUGAUAUUUAACGUCUUAAAAACUUAAUUAUUUUAUAUUUUCGGUUAAAUUUAUUUAAAAAAUAAUAAAAUGAAAUGAAUAGUAUACUAUCUUAAACUUUUUUUUCAUACAUAGAAUUUUUACGGAACUUUAAAAAUAUUACAAAAAGUACUUGACAAACAUAAAAAAAAAAAAAAGGAGAAAAGCACAAGAGAUGUAUUAAUUACACAUAUUGAAAUCACCUCACCAAAGCAUAUUCAAUUGAACGCGAGUCUUUACUUAAAAAUAAUAAAACAUCUUAAUUAAGAAAAAAAAAAGAAAAAGAAAAAGAGAGAGUACUAAUUGAGCCAUUCUCAUGGAGGGCCUAUUUUAAUCCUUAUUCGGUGAAGGAAUUGCUCAUCACAUCAUCGAGACAAUGCCCAUAAACCUGAGUAUUAAUCGAGCCAUUCUCAUCCCACACAAAAUUACACAAGUAUGUAGGUAUAGGAGGCAUGUUGACCUCUUGAACUCCCUCCAGCAUCUGAACAACUAGUCCCAUUGCUGGCCUACUGCUUUCAAGUUCUUGAAUGCACCAACAAGCAACUCUACAUGCUCUUUCGAGCUCUUCGCUGUUUGCUUCACCCUUCAACUUGUUGUCUAACAAGCAUGCGACCUCGCCUUCGUGGAUUUUCGCCGCGGCCCAAGUAGGAAAAUACACAUACGUUCCGUCUUCUGACCUCUCCGUGUUUCUCCUGCCGGAUAUUAUCUCGAAAAGCAUCAUCCCGAAGCUAUAAACGUCGGCCUUGUGCGUGAUAGCUAGCCCCGAUAUCCACUCCGGCGCGAGAUAUCCUAUUGUCCCCCUCAUAGUUGUCAGGACCCGGCUUCCGUCUCUAGUGAAGAGCUUCGCCAUGCCGAAAUCUGCAAUUCUUGGACAGAAUUGCUCAUCCAAGAGUAUGUUUUCCGGUUUAAUAUCACAGUGUAUGAUGAAGUCCUUGCAUUUCUCAUGGAGAUAAGCUAAGCCUCUCGCAAUUCCAAUUGCUAUUCGGUAUCGCUGGUUCCAACCUAAGAAGAUAUUGGAAUUAGUUUUUGAAAAUAAGUGAGAGUCUAUAGAGCCGUUUGUCAUGAACUCACAGACGAGCAAUCUUCUAGUUCCUUCCGCACAAAAGCCGAGGAGGCGAACUAUGUUAAUAUGCUGAAUCAUACCGACCGUGAUCACCUCUGCUCUGAAUUGCUUCUCUCCCUGCCUGAGUCCUCGGAGUUUCUUCACGGCCACAAGCGUUGAAUCACGCAAGGUGCCCAUGAAAACACUUCCGAAGCUCCCUUGGUCCAGCUUCUUUGAGAAAUUCUUGGUAGCACUCGUCAGAUUAGAGUAGGAGAACACUCGAAAACUCUUCGAAUAAAUUGGGUCUGUAGUGUGUGAUCUUUUCUUGCAUCUCCGAGUAACGAUCAAACCGAUAGCCAAGACAGUCGCAGUUCCUAAUACUACACCUACGGUCAGUCCUAUAAGCGACUGCUCUGGAUGCUUAUUUCUUCUCCAAGAAUCUAUUUUUGUUCGUAUGCUAAUUGGCGAGCCAUCUGAGCAAUCACCGCAUUGGGUCGAAUAGAUCAAAUCUCCGUGCCAUAACAUGCACUCAGAAAAAAAAGAGAAAGCGGUGCAAGAACAAUUACUUGUGCAGGCAGACUCACAUUCAUCAUGAUCACUGGCAGGGAAACUUUGAGGAUUGUCAGGUAAUAUGUGAGACCCCAAAUAGUCCUAUAUAUGAGAUAUAAUAGGACUAAACUCUUAACCCGGCUUAAGCAUUUUGGAUGGUGGCAAAAUUUAAGAGGUUAAGAGAGUUAAGCGUGUUAGGACGGAAGUAGUUCUAGGACGGGUGACCCCCUGGAAAGUUGGGGCGUCACAUAAUGUCUCAAAAAUAUAAUUAUGAAGCAAGCACCCCACGGAGGAAUUCUCUGAACAUGUAUACCUCUGGAUCCAAUUAUUAUCCAAAAAAAUAAUAGUAUAGCCAUCUAUGCCAUGGAAUGUGAAAGUGCCUUUUUGGCUAUCUUGCUGAAUAUCUAUCAUGGUAGGAACAACUAAAAUACUAUCGAUAGCAAACGAGUUCAGUUGCCACCCAUUUAUUUUCAAUGAUCAAGCCUCCAAAUCGACGAUCGGUAUCGUUGAAUAUGAUCUAUACCACCUGAAGUGUUUAGAAAUCAAACCCAUCUAGUGGACACAAAAAUGAACAGUUGAAAAUGAAUAUUUUUUAAAAAAUGAUGAUAAUAGUCUUGUAAUCAAGAUCAAAAGUGUAGAUCUUAUUUUAAAUAAUUUAAAAAAUUUUCUAAUAAAAAUUUAAUUGAUUUGGAUAUCUUUAUGCCGUUAAACGAGAAAACGUUUCAUAUCGACCUUUAAAAUUAUAAAAUUUGAAACUCUUUGAUCAUUAGGUAAAUAAUAUCGAAAAGAUUUGAAAUUUGAUUUCUAAACACUUCAAGUGGUAUAGAUCAUAUUCAACGGCGCCGAUCGUCGAUUUUGAAGCGUUAUCAUCGAAAACAAAUAUGUGGCAACGGAAUCCGUUUGUUUCGAUAUUGUUUACUUAGUGAUCGAAAGAGUUCAAAAUCAACGGCUGAAAAUAAAAAUCUCAUAAAAAGUAGUGAUAUAGUACUAAGAUUUUCGAUCAGAGAUAUUGAACUUAUUGUAGAUGGUAUAAAGAAUUUUCUAUCAGAAUUUUAUCUGAUUUGAAUACUUCUACACCGUUAAACUUGAAACGGCAGUUAUCGACUAUUAAAAAUCGUUGAUUUUGAGUCUUUUCGAUCACUAAAUAACUGAUAUCGAAAAAGCGCAAAAUUUAUUUUCUACGUAAUUCAAAUAUGCUAGAUCAAGUUUAGCGGAGCCGAUUGUCGAUUCGGGAGUCCCAUCAUCGAAAACGGCUCAGGAGCACCCAAGACCUAUAUAUAUAUAUAUAUAUAUAGCUAAAUUACAGAUAACCGCUAUGUCAAUAUCCGCUUUUUCACUUUUUUUCUCUGUCAUUUAAAAACCUACACUUUGUCUCCUUGAAAAAUGAGAACUGUUUACAGGGGGUACACCGUGACAAAAUGACCAAAAUGCCCUCACCAUCUUCGUCUCCUCCCCCAACCUCGCUCAGCCAUCGCCCCUCCUAUUCCGUUUUUCGCGUCUCGCUCAACCGCAGCUCCCACUCCAUUUUCCUCCUGCUCCCCCGCUCUUCCUGCACUCGUGUUGCCCCCCCCCCCCAUUUUGGCGAGAAUAGGGAGGAGAUCGGAGUGGGCAUAGAUGGAGAGGCAUGCGAGGGCGAGCGGUGGAGAAAGGUGAAGGGGAUGUGGGCGAGGGCGAAAACGAGGGCGAGGCAGUGGGGGAGGGCGAGACGGCAAGGCGGCGGCGAGGCGGAAGGAGGAAAGCAACAUAGAAGAGGGCGGAGGGAUAUUUUAGGCAUAAAAAAAUAUUUUUUAACGGAAUCCUAAUGAAUCACUAACGGUAGAGGGUGAAGUGCACAUUUCUCAUUUUUCAAUGAGUCAAAGUGUAGGUUUUUAAAUGACAGGAGGGGAAAGUGAAAAAGCGGGUAUUGACAGAAAAAUUUUAUGCAAUUUAGCCAACACUUUAUUAUGUUGUUGUGAACAAUAGUUUGUUUGUUUGGGAGUGCUUUUCCGUUCAUAGUACAGCUAGGAUUAUGAAGUUCUCUCACAGCUCAAUUCAACUGUACAAAGUCUACUUAAACAAUUGAACUUGCGCCUGUUGAUCAAUCCAAUUAAUUAACUAAUUAAAUAUAAACUAUUUGAGAUAAAAAUAAGCUUAUAAAUUGUAAUUUUAAAUUUUUCUCAUUCAUAAAUGACUCACACGGAUCAUUCCGUCCAAAACCAUAUGCAUUAUUAUGAGGUUCGAUUUAGAAGAGGAGAAAUGUAAUUAAUAAUCUUCAGCAUCCCGAUGACGCGGUUGGUGGUCGAGAAGAAGAGAGAAGAAUAUAUAAGUCAAUUAUGAAUAAGGACAAGUUUUAAUUUCCAAAAUUUUAUCUGAAUUUUUAUCUCAAAUAGUUUAUAUUUAAUUAGUUAGUUAAUUGGAUUGUUUGACCGGCUCAAGUUUGUUUAAGUAGACUUUGUAGAGUUUAAUUGACUUGUGAUUAUUUUAAUGAGAGAGACUUUACAACCCUAGCUGUACGCCUGCACGAGGAAUGGAAAAGCACUUCCCAACAAAUAAAGAACUGUUCACUAUAUAAUAAAAUAUUUUUCUUAUCCAAUAAUACGCAAUCUAGCUAUACCGUGCGUACAUACUAGCCAAAAUUUCUACUUAAUUAUAGUUUAUUUCUCCAGUAGUACUCUACUUUUAUAUUUCUUGAAUCAGGGCUUUUUUUUUUUUCAGUGAGUCUUAGAUUUCCAGAAAAUUUUAAAGAAAGCGUCAAAUUUUUCUAAUCCUUGUAUUUAAAUUCUUAAAGUUUAAAAUUUUUGUUUGAAAUUCGUCUUGAUUAAAAGCAAAGAUGAAUCACACCAUUAGUAGCCGGACUUUAAUAAGUGAAAUUUUGUUUAGUUCAUCGAACUUUAAUUUGUUUUAAUAAUUAACUGAACAUUAAUUUCUAUCUCAUUCUUAUUGCUUUAUCACAUUUCGUAUAAUUUUUUAGACAGAACACAAAAACGUUAGCUAAUUUAGCUACCAUAUAGCUAUAAUUUAUUUAAUUUUUAUUUGUAGGCUAAAGAUAAUCAAAUUUAGCAGUUCAGAAUUAGAAGGAAUAUAUAUUUUACCAUAGUAGAAUGAUAAUUAACUAAUAAAAUUUAUCUAAACAAAUUUCAAUUAGCGAAAUUUCGAAACUGCCACACCCAUCGAUUAAAAUGCCAUUUAUUUAGUUAAAAGUUCAUGUUCUUCGCCUAUAGAAAGUUUCGAUUUAUUACAUAAUUAACUUUUCAAAAUAUACCCAAUAUAUAUAUAUAUAUAUAUAGAAUUCGCAAAGGAGCUUAAUUGCCUACUUAAAAAUGAACUUAUGCACGAAAAUCCAGGUCUUAUGAAAAGUACAACUUCACAUUUGUUUAAAACAUCUGAAUUAAAAAACAAAGAAAAAGUCUACCUGUACUUCUAUAGGAAGGUGUAUAUCCUACACCCGUAUGAUCCAACGGCUAUUAUUAGAUCACUAGCACAGUAGCAGCUAACUUCACUCUCCUUUUUAUUUCUUUCUAAAGCUAAACCCUACUACACAUCUCUCUCUCUCUCUCUCCCGUACACCUCCUUCUCGCUCCCGCUCGCUCCCUCGGUCCCGCUCGCUCCCUCGCCUCUCUCUUGAUCUCGCGCCUCUCUCGUCACCUCUCUCGUCAUCUCACGCUCUCCCCUUUCUCUUUCUCUUUCUCUUGCUCUCGCUCGCAGGGCACUGCACUCCAUCGGGCAGAAGUUCGGCAUUGCUCGUUCCACACAUCUCGUGUCCGAAGCCAUCUCGAAGGUGUCUCUCGGCCUCGCCUUUCUCCAUUGGUAGGAGGUCGCCUCUCAACUGCUCCCCUGUCCAUCCCAGUACCUGUGACGCAUUCCUUCAGUCGUGAGCGUCCGAAAUUGGGAACGAUUUCAGAGCUAAUUCGGCCACAACCGAAACAGAGGAUUCAACUCAAACAGGGCAUUUUUUUUUAAAUUUCUAUAAUCUUUUAUUUUCAAUUUUUAAUUUAAUACAAAAUGUAUAUUUUGAGGGUUUAGGGUUGCAGCUGCGGAUUGUCUUUGCGUGCUCCAGAUUUCGUCACCGAAUAGGUGUUUAAUUUUAUUUUAGGACACUGGUGGUAUAUUUGUUGGUAUGUUAUAUUUUAUGUUGCAUUUUUAAGAAUAAAGAAUUUAUGAUUAGGAUUAGGGUUUAGGGUUUACAAUGUUCUAUUAUGCCAGCUGAUAGGAGUGUUCACAAUCUAUUGAUUGUGAAUUCUAUUAUGCAAACUUGUGGUUUAGAAUGUUCUAUUAGGCCAGCUGAUAGGAAUAUUCACAAUCUAUGUGACAGUGAGCAGUUCUAUUAAGGUUUAGGGUUUAGAAUGUUCAUUUUUUAUGGUUCCGAACAUGUAUGAGUUACAAUCGUACCUUCUUAUGGCAUAAUAUAACAUUCCUAGGGCAUAAUAGAACACUCCUAUCAGCUGGCAGGAUUAUGAACACUUUGAUCUAAUAAUAGAAUAGAUGUAACUAUUAAUAGAACACUCUUAAUAAGUUUAUAGUUGUGAACACUGUUUUAGAAUUUAGAAACAUUUUAUGUCAUAAUAGAACUGUUGUAAAGGGUAAUAGAACACUCUAAAUAUGUUUAUGAUUGUGAACAUUAUUUUAUGAUUUAGAAUACUUUUAUGCCAUAAUAGAAUAGUUGUAACGGAUAAUAGAACACUUUAAGGUGUUUAUGGUUGUGAACACUCUCAACAGUUGUAUAUGUUAUUUUUAUACUUAAUUAAUGCUCUAUUAUCCACAGCAUUUAUUCACGGCAUUUAUAUGUUCGCAUUCAACGAAACAAAAAUUAUAUUAAGAUGAGAUUGUUCUAUUAUGUCAUAAUAGUGUAUGUGAAUUCUAUUAUGCAAGCUUGUGGUUUAGAAUGUUCUAUUAGGCCAGCUGAUAGAAGUGUUCACAAUCCAGCAAAUAUAAUAUACCAGCAAAUAUAUUUGCUGAUAGAAGUGUUCUCUCGCUCGCUCGCUCGCUCGCAGAUCACUCCAUCGGGCGGUGUUCGGCAGGGAAGGCGGUCGAUAGAAGCUCCUGUCCCAAGCCGUUUCGUAGGUGUCUCUCGUCCUCGCCUCUCUCUAUUGGUAGGAGGUAGGAGGUCGCAUCUCAACUGCUCCACUGUCCAUCCCAGUACCUGUGACGCAUUCUUUCAGUCGUGGGCGUCCGAAAUUGGGAACGAUUUCGGAGCUAAUUCGGCCACAACCGAACAAAGAAUUCUACUCAAACAGGAGAUAUUUUUGAAUUUCUAUAAUCUUUUAUUUCUAAUUUUAAAUUUAAUAUAGAAUUUAUAUUUUGAGGGUUUAGGGUUGCAGCUAGGGUUCUUCUGUGCGUGCUGCGGAUUUCCUCACCGACUAGCUGAUUCAUUUUAUUUAGGGUUUACUCAGCUGGUAUAUUACAUUAUUUGUUGCAUUUGUAAAAAUAAAGCAUUUAUGAUUUUAGUGUUUAGAAGAUGCGUCCACAGUAACACACAUAUAUUUCAUGUAUUUCAUAAAUUUUGUUUAGUUUAUGAUAGAAAAUAUGUUUAGUGUUACUAGUAUGUAGAAAGGUAUAGAAAAUAUGUUUGGGAUUACUAGUAUAUUAUCUUAUUUAUACUUGUAUACUUGUCUUGAAAAUUAAUUUGUUUGUAUUCAUAUAUGUAUUGUUGGCUAGAAUUAUGUAUGCAUUAUAAUCUGUCACUCUUAUGCCAUAAAGAGUUUAGUCUUAGAGAUUAUAAGAACGCUCUUAGUAGAACACUUUUAUAGAAUUUGUGUUUGCGAACAUAUAUAACCUGAGAUAGCCAUCGCGACUUAUGCUCGCCCAUGCGGGAUUUGGCGCCGAAGUGGAUUGCCGUGGGGGAGGCUCAUCCCUAGAGUGGGAAUGUUGACUACUACGGUGCCAUUAGGCACGGCGCAGGCCAGACAGCCUUCGGAUGGGUCUUAUAUGAUUGGGACUUAGUGACAGAACAUACUAUGUGAACUUUAAAACUAUUAAAGUGGACUUGGACUAGAAUAGUAAGCAAUGACAUCUUUACUAUCACAUUAUGGACAUUGGGAUUAGUUGCAUAUUCAUGCACUUCCAUGUUGGAUAUUCAUGUGCUUAUACUCAUAGUAGUCGCUUUCUUACUUAUACAAUAUAUAGCUAAGUAGAGACAUCAUGGUUAUGCUGCAUUUAUUUUACUUAUCAGCUGCACAUAUCGCUUUUGGUUAUUUAUUCACACUGACCCUCUUUUGUAGCUUCGGGCCUAAUGGUGCAUUUCACUGAAGUCACUAAUUGCCCACUGGGAACUAUUAUUUAAUAGUUCUCACGCCCCUGUUUUCUUAUUUCCUUUCAGAGCCUUCUGCACCGGCGGAGGCACGGGAUCGUGGCAAGGGGAUCGCAUAGCUAGCUAGCGAGGAGCGGUUCUUUGCCUAGGUGGUUUACUCUUUCUUUUUCUAGUUGAGAGAGUGAGAGAUUUUGUGCCCAUGUGUAGAGACCACCUAUGUAUUUACUUUUAGCACUUGUAUUUGGGAUUUUCUUUGUACUACUUAUGCUUUUAUUAGUGGAUUUCAGCGUUACUCUUCUUACUUUGAUGUAGAACUUGGUCUUUCUUUAUGCUCUGAUACUCCUAGAUGCCUUUUUACUAUUGCUUUAAUUAUCGUUGCUUUUAGACGCCUUAUAUGUUUUAGACGUAUGGCGGGUCUGGGCACGCGCCGGGCGGGCUUCCGCUGGGCCCCGGGGCGUGACACAUGAGCGUCCGAGGGGUCAGAUUCUGAUUUGUAGAUUGAGGAGGCAUAUCCACUCUAUGAGGAUACAUGAUAGGAUGUGAUGAUACGGAUAUAUUUUUAGGGCCCCACGUUGUCUAAUAUAAAAAGAAAGCAAACGUAAACCAUAUUAUUACUAUAUAGAUAAAAUUGUAUUAAAGAACUGUCCAUAAGAAAUAUAAUUUCUGUUACUGUAACGAUGAUGCCUCGGCUGCUUUGUACACCCAUCCCAUAAGGUAAGUUACUUGCUGACGAAUUGUUAAUAGUAGGACUUUGUAGAUGAACCUGUUUUAAUAAACUAUUUUGUUUUGUAGAAUAUGAGAUCCAGAUGUUUAAAAAUAAUUAGUGAAGUUCCAUUUAUAUGUCUAUAUUAGAAAAUCAAAUAUAGAAAUAAUAAUGCGUAAAAUAUGUACGCUCUGUUGGGACGAGGUCGACUGUGAUGAUGAGACACAAUUAUAGAUGGAACAUUCACCGUUAUAUAACCUGUCCCAACAAUGUUGCCCAACCUGUUAAAUAGAGCAUGAAUAAUUAUCACUCAUUGUCGUCUAUCGUAUAUUACAAUCCAAAAAAACAUUGAUUUAGAUAGGUUAAGAUAUACCUGUUCUUUAUUACCUUUCAUCUUCAACCGUCGUACAAUUUUAUCAGCCGUCGACUAUUUUCUUUUGCUUGGCGGGCGGCCUUUACUGCGAACAAGUAGUGGGCUCAAAACUCUCUGGUUGUUACUUCUACCAUUCGACGCAUCAUUCGAAGGUGUUGCCGCAAUCGGCGAAUAUUCAAUAUCAUUGCUCCCCUUCGAUGAUGAAGUAUUUUCUAAUUUCGUCUUCAAAUCUCGUAAUGUACGUAAUGCUAGUUCACAUUUCUUAUCAGACUCAGCAGCUAUGUCUGCAAUGUCAUACAUAUUCCUACAUACUUCUUCAUAUCGAUAAAUUUCCGCGGUGCUCCCUAAGUUUUAUGCCAUGUCUUCACGCGGGUAUACCUCCGUCUGACAUCCUUCCUCCAACAUGUUAAUAUGUACGAAUUUGGGACAAUCAUCAACUUCCUAUGAACUAGGACGGCAAUUGAAUGUCGACAUAAAAUACCUUUAUACUCAAAUAGACGGCAAAUACAACUUACUAGAGAGGUACCUUCAUCAAAAUUUACCUCCGUCGCCAUACUCAUUUACUUGAUAAGAAUACACACUGCUCGUCGAAGACAGUAAGGAGGUCUCACAAUGCAAUAAUUCCUUCAACUCUGCCUGAAAUUCUCUAAAUUUCGCAAUCGUGUAUACAUCUUGAAAUUGCUUCUCAAAUGCAUAACGGCUUAUACACGGGAUGACUGAGCUGAAUGAUUUAUAGUCUAAUUCUGCUUCCUUUUCAGCUUUAUUUUUUAUUGCGCUUUCAUAUUGCUCAACGAAUUGUUUUAAUAAAGUUCUCGAGUUCACAUACCCAUCAAAAAAUGCAUUCAUACUUUCGCUACGCUGUGUUGUGGACAUUCCAGCCCAAAAUAUAUCCUUCACAUAAGCUAGUAUCCACUUAUGUCUUUCCUCGUACAGGUCUGACAACCACUGAUUAUUUUCAAGUGCAUAACAAGCUAUUAUUCUCUUCCAUUUUUCCUUAAGUUCAAUUUCUGUCUGUGAUUCAUAAAUAGCAUUCAUCAUCACGCUCUUCAUCGAAUGAUAUUCGCCAUAGCUUCUUAGCUUUUCAGGUAUCUUUUUUGUUAUGUGCCAUAAGCACCAUCGAUGCCGAGUAUUAGGAAAGACACAUGCGAUAGCAUUUUGCAUCGCUUUAUCUUGAUCUGUGAUUAUUGCUUUCGGGACACGGUCGGACAUGCAUGACAACCAAUUCCGAAAGAGCUAUACAAACGAUUCUGUAUCUUCAGUGGAGAGUAGGCCGCACCCCAACAAGAUCGACUGUCCAUGAUGGUUUACACCAACAAAAGGAGCAAAUGGCAUAUCGUACUUAUUUGUUAGAUAUGUCGAGUCGAAAGUAAUUACAUCUCCAAAAUAUUUAUACGCCGCUCUACUUCGAGCAUCUUCCCAAAACACAUUGCGAAGCCGAGAAUCAUCGUCUAGAUCUAUGACAUAAAAAAAAUUUUCAUUUCUCUCUUGCAUUUCUCUAAAAUAAUUACAAAUUGUUUCGCCGUCACCUUCACCAAGUCGUAACCAACGGGCUUUUUCAAUAUAAUUACGAGCGUCCUUCUUUCCAAAUGUUAAGUUUUCAUAUCCACCAGCCUCAACAAUAAUAGAAUUAAAACUUUUAUUCAAUCUUAUUCCAGCACGAUCAUUAAGAUCAAGCCGCCUCUUGAUGCUUGUAUCUAUAACUCGAUUGCAGGGAAAAAAUCGAGACUUAUAAGGACUUAGAGUGUGAUUAUGCUCUAGUGUAAUUUUGCUUAUUACACAAGAUGAAUCCACAUUUAUUACCACAUUUAUUCUGGCUGGACAGUUUGUCUUUGCUACCAAUGGGUGAGGACGAAUAUUCGUUACGGUUCGAUACAUAUUUCCAUGACGAGAGCAUGCGAUUAUUACAUAUGUAGCCUUGCCAUCAGUCAUUUUUGUUGACCUUUUUACAACUGCAAAUUCUAUUUCUUGUGCAUAAUACUUAUAGAAAUUAAAAACGGCAUCAAAAUUGAUAAAAGCCAUUCCAAUUUCUGGUGCCGAUAUAUUUACAUCCCUAACCUCACUAUUUCUUUCUUCAUUCAUCUCAAAAAUAUUAAAUCCAAAUAAUCACUCAACUAAACAAAUUUAAGUAAAUUGCUCACCUGUAAGACAUUAUAUAGAGUUGGAAUACUAAAUUAGAAUAAUAAUGAGCAGGAAAACUAUUUGUCAAAAUUUAGACAUCUAAAGAUUCUACUAUGGCCUAAAAAUAUAUUAUCUAUUAACAUAUAGAUCAUACAUCAAAUCAGUGAUGAAAUUAAUCAAAUAAUUCAUCACAAUUAAAAAUUAAUAAUUUACUAAAAAAUUAAACAUCUCAUACCUGGUUAUAUAUGUGGCAGUGUACGAAUCAUUGUGCUCGGGGUAAACCACGUCGUUCAAUUUUGCCGCAUCCUCGAUUGUCUCCUCCGUACUUGUCGCGUCCAAUUUGAUCGCAGAAUCCGCCUUCGCGCUUCUUUCUCUUCCUCUCGUUCUCCCUGUUUCUAGCAUAGCACAACUCCUUUCGCUCCCUCUCGCGCCCUGCCCUCGCUCUCUCUCGCGCCCUGCUCCCGCUCUCGCUCGAGCUCUUCUCUCUCUCUCGGUCGCUCGCUCGCUCGCCUCUCUCUCUUUAGGUCGCUGGCUCGCUGGCUCGCCUCUCUCUCUCAGUCGCUGGCGUGCUCGCCUCUCUCUCUCUUUAGCUCGCUAACGCCAAAAAUUAGAAAAAAAAAAGAGAAAAUGUGAGGGGCUAAAAUGUGAGAGUGAGGUUAACACUGUUUUUUUUUUUUUUUAACCAAGUUUAUAUCACCCGUUGGAUCCAAGAGUUGUAGGAUCUACAACUCAAUAUGGAGUGUAUGGGUAGCACGACUCUUCAACAAAAGAAUUGGCUCACUUUUCAAGGCACCUAUUUAAAAAUUUCGCCUCUGUCCCACCAUUUCUGAAUUGCUUAGGGGUGGUUGGCUCCUUGUAAACUGAAUCCAAAAAUUAAUUUUUUGUAUGAAAAAUAUUUUUCCACUUGUUUGAUAAAAUAUUAAAAUAUUGUUUUGUAAAAAUAUUUUUACAGAUUUAAAAAAAAUUGAAGUUUUUAUUUUUUUGCUAUUUUCUAGAGAAAAACGAAAACUCAAGCGGGUAAAAAAGUUUUUUAUCUAUUUUUUUCACCGAACUAAACAAAUGUAAUAUUUUUUUUCUAUCAAUCAAGUAAAUAUUGAUGAAAAAUUAUCUUUUUUUUUUCUACAAAUCAAAUACUAUAAAACGUAAAAAAAAAUUUCUAGUAAAUUUUCUUUUUCAACAAAAAAAUAUUUUUUUAUAAUUUUAUGUUGAACCAAACGGUGCUUAAUACAAAAUUGAUAUGUUCGGUGCAUGACGAGGUCAAAUACUAACAACAUUAAUUUUUAUUUUGUUUUUAGCAUCUUAAAUUAUUAAAAGAGUAAUCAGAUAGAAAUUUUUUAAAUUGAUUAAAUGUGUUGUGAUUUAAAAGUUGGCAGUGACACCAUACCACUAUAUUUCUAACUAAUCAAAUUAUACUUAUAGGCUGUGUUUGGUUGGAAAACUAAAUUUUGGAGAACAACUUUUGUUGUUUCCGAAAACAAGGGAUAUUCCGAUAUAAGAUAGAACAAUUAUAAAUUUAUAUUUGGAUGUAUUCGGGGAUAUUCUAAAAAAUAUUUUUAGUAGCGUUUGAAUAAAAAGUGUAGAACAAUGUCUAAAUAUAUUUUUAAAUAUAAAAUAAUUAAUUUAUAUUAGUAUAUUUUAUAUAAAACUAUUUAUAAAAUUAUUUCUUAUAGUAAUUUAUAAUAUAAUAUUUUAUGUAAGAGUUUAAUUUAAAAUAGUAUAUUUAGUUUACUAUAUAUAAUAAUAAUAAUUUAUUUUAUAUAAUUUAUUUAUAAUGUAUGUAAAGAUAUCCUUAUAAUUUAAAUUAAUAAUAGUAUAAAUACAAAUUUAAAAAAAUAUAUAAUGCAUGAAAAAAAAUAUAUAUAUAAUACUUAAUAUAAAAAAAUAAAUAUUAAUAUAUAAGUCAAAUUUAAUUAUUUUAUAUUAUAUAAUAAAAUUUAAGUAUAAAUAUAUUAUCAUAAAAAUAAUAUUUAUAUUAAUAUAUUUAUUUAUAUAUCAAUUUAUCUAAUAAAAUAAAAAGAAGAACAAAGUUAUUCUCAGUUCUCCUAGGAACAAGUUUUAACGGGUUGUUCCAGGACAACCCAGAACAAUUUGCUUUGACCAGAACAACUCAUUCCUUCCUGUUCUUCUACCGUUUGGUUACAACUUAGAGGAUAUUCCAUAUUGUCCCGAAAUGUCCUCGCUACCAAACGCAGCCAUAGAGUUCUCUCAUCCCAUCAUAAUUUUUAUAAAUAAUUUCUAUUAUAUUUUUUAAAAAAUAAUUUAAUUGACUUGAGAUAUAAAUAUUGUGGUUGACUCGCAUGUGCUUCUUCUCUCUUCCUCUAGACCCCCGAAUGCGUCGGGAGUACCGAAGAGUUUUUAAUUACAGUCUCCCUCCACUAAAUCAAACCUCACAAUCACGCACAUGUUUCCAGAUCCAUGGAACGACCCAUGAUAAGUGGAAGUCGUAAUUUGUUUAAAUUUUGCUUAGCUAAUUAAUGUGAUCACUGAAGAGGAAAUAAUCAUAUAAGUCGUUGCUUGUUUUUCAUUUUGGAAGGUUGAAAAUCUAUCUUGUAGCUUUGUUAAAAGUUAAUACACGAGCAAGAUAACGUACUCUCUAAACAACAAAAUUUGAGUUUUUAAGUCAUACUCGGGGUUGAAAAAAGAAAAAAAAAAAUGUGUGCGUCCGUAUGAAUAUAAAUAUUAAAAAUAUUAUUUUUAAUAAUUUAAAAUUUUUAAGAAUAACGAUUAUUUCUGGAUAGUAUAGUUCACAACUUCACAUGUUUAUAUAAAGAGGUGAAAAUACAAAUAAACGGUUUGUACUCACAAUUUAAAUUUAAAUUUAUAUUUAUAUUUAUAUUUAGAAUUAAAAAUUAUAUUUUAAAAUUUAAAUUUAAACUAAAAUUUUAAUUGAAUUUAUAGUUAAUUUAAGACGUAAAUUAAAUUUACACUUUGAAUUUCAAAAUCUGGUUCUAACUCAUAACUGAAAUUAAAUUCUAAACUAAAAGUUCAACGUACAUAGAAAUUAAAAUAUUUAUUCAAAUUCUAAAAUGUUAUUUAUUUAGUUAAAAGUUCAUGCUCUUCGCCUACGGCAAGUCUCGAUUUAUUACGUAAUUAACUUACAAAUAGCUUACGCGUAAAAACGCAAGUUCUUAUAAACGAAAAGUACAACUUCACGUGCAUGCCAACUUCACAUAUGUUUAAAAUAUUUGAAUUUAGAAAAAAAAAGAAAAAAAGAAAAAAAGACUAGCUCACUUUCCCAGGCUCGUAUUUAAAUAAUCCUCCUCGAUUCCAUGACAUCUGAACUGCCUAAAACAAAAUCGACAUAUUGGGUGCGUCAUGCACGGCGAGGUCAAACAAUACAUAUUAGGUGCAACAUGCAUGGCGAGGUAGAAUGGUAGAUCAUACACUUCCCAUCAUAGGAUUAACAAAAAUUCAAAUAAUUUUCAGUAAAAAUAAAAAAAUAUCGAUAUAACAAGUAAAAAAAUUAUGGUCUUUGAGAGAAUAGGUGUAAGAUAUACACCAUACUUUGGGCUAUAAUUAACUAUAUAUUCUUUAUCCAACUCCUAAUUAUAAUUAUUAGAAAUUCCUCUAAAAUGAUCAAUAUUAAAAUAUCUUUUAAUUAUAUAAUAUAUAUAUAUAUAUAUAUAUAUAUAUAUAUAUAUAUAUAUAUAUAUAUAUAUAUUCAUAUUUAUAAUAAUCAAUCUAAAAAUUAAACGAAAUUUUUAUUUGGUCAUUAUUCAUUAUCAUGCUUUCUUAAUCAACUUAAAGAUUUUUGCUUGAAAUAUUAUAAAUGCAGUUGAAUGUACAGCAUAUUAAAACUUACUGGUUAUGAAUUAAUGAUGAUAAUAAUACAAAGCUGGUUGAGAAUAGCAAACCUGAAGGAACUUUUACAAAAGUGACAUCAUCAUUAUAAUAAUCAUCAUUAUUGUUAUGUUUUAAUGUUAAGGUUUGCGCGCAGAUAAGUUGUGCGGCGGUGGGUUCGAGUACCAUGCAGGCAUGCAUACAUAUAAUGUCUAUAAAUAGAGGCGGCGUGGAAGCAGCUCUCCACCCAAUCCGUCUACCACCCAUGAGAGAACAAACAUAUAGGCACAUACAGGCACAUAUAGCAGCUAGCUAGAAGAGCCAUGGCUUCGAGCUUGGUGAGCUACAGAUUACCCACGACAACAUCGCCUUGCUGCGCCUGUUGGGGACAGGGAAACACCUCCUCAGCCUGGCCCUCAUCAACGAUUUCAAUAAAGCAGUCAGGAGGGCCGUCGAUGACAAUGUGUCGGCCUCAUAACCGUCCACAGCGGCAACUCGUUCUCGGGCGGCCUCGACUACAAUUCGGCCCCGAGGCGGUGUUGGUGGGGGCGUUUGCGAGCCUGAUCGCAGCCUCAUCAAGCUGCCAUUCCCGACGGUGGCCAAGGUGACGGCCAAGCGUACGGGGCAGAUUCACGCUGGCGCUCGCACAUGACUAUUGGUGCUAUCGACCGACUCCACUGUUAUCUGUGCCAAAACGAGCUGACUGAGGGCCACGAGGUGCCGUCGUUUGCUGCGCGCUGCUGUUCGGCAAGUUCCCGCCGUCGGCUGCUUGGAGCUGGCAGUGUCGACAGUGCCAGUUGCCCCCCAAAUACUCCCCAUAUCUGACUACGUGGGGAAGUACGUAGGGUGGAGCAUAGAUGAUGUUGCGACAAAACUGCUGGCAGCCCUUGCCGCGUCGGCACCGCUUACAGUGCCGUACGGAAAGAGUCUGCUGGCCGAGGUGUGGGCGCUGGUGAAGCCCACAGUAACUCAAGCCUAGUUAAUUUGGGCCUGCUGCAUAUAUGUCGCCCCUCGUAUGGCGUAUAGUAUCACCGUUAGUAGGUGCGUGUCUGUUGGCUUCGAGUCCGAGUCUGAAACAGUUUGUUGUGCUCGUAUUUUUCCCUUUGAAUUAAAUAGGGGUGAUGUCCGUCGAGUCAGUCUCUGUCCUUGGCCUUGUACUGGAAUAAAUUAUGCUUGUGUGUGUGUCGUUAUUUAUUAUUUCGAGUGUUUGCUCUUCGCAUCUCUGCAGACCUAUGUUAGUAAAUUCGCGAAUAAUUCGCGAAUUAUUCGCGAAUCUUUGAAGAUACGUUUAAAACGACUGUUUUCGUAUUUUUCAGAAAAAUUCGAAAAAAAUCGCGUAUUUUUUCACAAAAAUAAUUAUACGCGAAUUAUUCGCGAUUCGCGAAUAAUACGCCCAAAAAAACGGCACGUGCGGUCGCCGACUGGCGGCCGCGGGUCGCAUCGUCGCCGCUCUCGUCGCCGAGCUUGUCCGUGUCAUCGUCGUCCUCCUCCGCCGCCCUGACCAGCGUCGGGAGCAAGAGGGCAGCGGGGCGGCGUCGUCGUCCUCCUCCGCAGCCAUGGCCGGCGCCGGAAGCAACUUGCGGAGCGAGGAAGAAGAAAUCGCGGUGUAUAGGCUGGAAAUGGCACGGUCCAUGAGGUGUAGGGGAUUGGAAAAUGUCGGGGUCCACGAGGCUGCACUCAGCCUCGUGGACCGUGCAGGAGUGAGAGGUCCACGGUGGACCUCUCACUCUCUGCCCUUUUGUGUGAGAAUAUGACUAUAUAUAUAUAUAUAUANGGCAACAAGAGGCAUUUUGACUUGUUUACUUUUAAAUAUACUCCUGCUAUUAGCACCCGUUAAAUCAUUACGGAUUAAAUUCCACUAAAGUUAAAAUUAAAUCAAAAUAUCUUUUUUUCCAUGACUUAAGAGCAAAUUAAUAAAAAAAAUUGGUGACGCUAGAAGAGUAUAUUUAAAAGUAAACAAGUCAAAAUGCCUCUUGUUGCCCCUAACUUAACGGCAAAUAAGAAAAGUUGGUGAUGAUAGAAUAGUAUAUUUGAUAAAGUAAAACAAUAAUUUUACAGAGAUAACAAGUGUUCCUAACAGUUCACUAACAGAAUCUAACUGUAAAGAUAUAUUUUAAAAAACUUGGAACUUUUAAAAGUUAUUUUUAAUACUAGCCUUAUAAGAGAGAUAGAUACGAAAGCCGUCGGAAUUCUUACAGGGGUAUAUAAGUAAUUAUCCCAAUUAAAAUAUAUACAAGAAAAUAGUAUUUUAUUGAUUUAUGAUCCUUACUUGUUUAUUUUCAUGUUACUGUAGUUGAUUAAGCUUAUAUAUCAAUUGAUUAUUUCAGCUAUCUCUGAUUCGUACUCUUUGUUCAUCGGUGGUAAGUUUUAAAAAUUUAAAUUUUAAAUAUUCAAACUUUAAAUGUUUUAACUUUUAAAUAUUCUAAUUUUAUUAUUUUUUAUUUUAAAUUCAUAACUAUUUAUAUUUUAAUGUGUUAAAUUUAAACUUUGAAUUAUAAAUUUAAAUUUUUUUAAAUAUAUAUUUUAUAUUUAAUAUUUUAUAUAUUUAUAUUUUUAAAUUUUAAAAUUUUUAAUUCUUUAAAGUUUAAUUUAAAUUAGAUUUUAAAUUUUAAAUUUUAAAUGUUUAAAUUUUAAUGUGAAACGUUUGAGAAUUUUAACUUUAAUUUGUAUUUUGGUAUAUUAAAAAUUUAUAUUUUAAUUUAAUGAAUAUAUAUAUGUUAAUUUUUAAUAUAAAUUUAUAUUCUUUGAAUUUUUUAAAUUUUAUAAUUAUUUUAUAAUUAUAGUUAUUAAAAUUUUAAUUUUUUAAAAUUAAAGAUAUCAAAUUUUAAUAUUUAUUUACUAUUUUGGAACAUUACAAAAUAUUUAAUUUUAAUUCAUAAUUAUAACUUUAGAAUUUUCAAUUAUUUAAAAUAAAAAUUUCAAUAAAAAUAUAUUGAUCGCAGAACCGAAUUAAACAACAAAAAAACAACAUAUUCUAAAGUUUUCAAACUUAUUAUCGCCAAAAAAUAUUUUAUCACUCUAAAAACUCAGCCAGCGUCAUACAAGGUUUACAUCAAAUCAAUUCUACUUAAUAUCAAAAUCACUUUUCUUAUAGCUAGAGGCAAACCACCUAUCAUAAUAUGAUAUAUCAGGAUUGAGUGCAAAUAGGCAAUGUGAUCGAGUAGCUAAAUAGUAACUCCCCAAGAAUAUCAACACUUAUUUGUGAUAGUAUCUUUAACUUUGAUCUUCUGCAGCUUUGGACUACUCCAGAAGACGACACGUUAGACUACGGUUUGGAAGUUGACUUGAACCUAGUUGUACAAAUUACUCAGAAUGCCUCAUUUUGUUAAUCUAUAUAUGUACAAUGACUUAUGCUCUGAGCGCUCCUAUUGCGGUAUAUUUAAUUCUAGAGCGAGGAGAGAGAGAGAUUAGAUAAUGACGCAUCUCGUUGUCAUUUUUUAUUUAAUUUUUCACAUGAUGAAAGCAUGUUCAGAAGUCGCGAUCACAUCAUGUUGAAUACUAUAUAUAUACCUUGACCCAGCGCCACUUUAAAAAUCAGACUUUUUAGAUAUUUCUAGUGUACAUUUUCUUCAUAUUUAUUUACUACGAAUAAAGGCUCUGUCAUAAUCAAACAUCUUUAUAAUCAAUUCGGAUAUCAUAUUUCACCAUCCCAGAGAGUAGUAUAAAUUUUUGCCGAAAGAAACUAAAUCGAAUUGUCACAGCUCUCCUAAACGUGGACCAGUAAACUAGGACAGAAGAUGAUUUAGAGCGUAGCUCAUGCUCGCUAUAUCACGUAUAACUUUAUCAACGUAGUGCUCUUUUUCAUCUUAUACAUCGAGGAAAGCGUCAAAGUUUGAGUGUAAUAAUCUCUUCAUUUUAUGCCAGAGAGAGAAAAUUGGCAACGAACCCCCCCCCCGAUCGCUCCAACGGCGUCUAUGUAACAGCGGUCAAGAAAUCUUCUCUCUUUUNNNNNNNNNNNNNNNNNNNNNNNNNNNNNNNNNNNNNNNNNNNNNNNNNNNNNNNNNNNNNNNNNNNNNNNNNNNNNNNNNNNNNNNNNNNNNNNNNNNNNNNNNNNNNNNNNNNNNNNNNNNNNNNNNNNNNNNNNNNNNNNNNNNNNNNNNNNNNNNNNNNNNNNNNNNNNNNNNNNNNNNNNNNNNNNNNNNNNNNNNNNNNNNNNNNNNNNNNNNNNNNNNNNNNNNNNNNNNNNNNNNNNNNNNNNNNNNNNNNNNNNNNNNNNNNNNNNNNNNNNNNNNNNNNNNNNNNNNNNNNNNNNNNNNNNNNNNNNNNNNNNNNNNNNNNNNNNNNNNNNNNNNNNNNNNNNNNNNNNNNNNNNNNNNNNNNNNNNNNNNNNNNNNNNNNNNNNNNNNNNNNNNNNNNNNNNNNNNNNNNNNNNNNNNNNNNNNNNNNNNNNNNNNNNNNNNNNNNNNNNNNNNNNNNNNNNNNNNNNNNNNNNNNNNNNNNNNNNNNNNNNNNNNNNNNNNNNNNNNNNNNNNNNNNNNNNNNNNNNNNNNNNNNNNNNNNNNNNNNNNNNNNNNNNNNNNNNNNNNNNNNNNNNNNNNNNNNNNNNNNNNNNNNNNNNNNNNNNNNNNNNNNNNNNNNNNNNNNNNNNNNNNNNNNNNNNNNNNNNNNNNNNNNNNNNNNNNNNNNNNNNNNNNNNNNNNNNNNNNNNNNNNNNNNNNNNNNNNNNNNNNNNNNNNNNNNNNNNNNNNNNNNNNNNNNNNNNNNNNNNNNNNNNNNNNNNNNNNNNNNNNNNNNNNNNNNNNNNNNNNNNNNNNNNNNNNNNNNNNNNNNNNNNNNNNNNNNNNNNNNNNNNNNNNAAAUUUUAAAUUUUUGAAAUUUAUAAUUUGAAGAUUAAAAAUUAUAAUUUAAAAUUUAAAAAUUUUAAAUUUUUAAAUUUAAAUUUUAAAAUCUAAAAUGUCAAAUUUUAAAUUUUAUCUUAAAUUUGAAAUUUGAAAUUUUAAAAUCUAAAAUUUGAGAUGUGAAAUUUAAAAUUAAAAUUAAAAAUUAAAAAUUAAAAAUUUAAAGCUUGAAAUCUAUUUUUCAAAUUUUAAAAUUUGAAAGUUAAUAUUUAAAAAUUCAAAAAUGAAUCUGAAUAUUAAAAAUUAAAAUUAAAUUUAAAUUUAAACAUUGAAUUUAAAAUUAAAAUAAAAAUUAGACGUUUGAAUCCAAAAUCAGAAUCAGAUUUCAAGAAGCAGUUUUUUUCUAUUUCUGAUUCUGAGGCCUUCAAAAUCAAUUUUCUGAUUCUAAAAAGUAGAAUCAGAUUUUAAAAAUGAGAUUGCCAGAUGCUUUAUUGAUCCGAAAAUUACUUGUUAACCAAAAAGCGUUUUUUAAAAAUUAGGCCAAACACCCCCAUAUAUAUAUAUAUAUAUAUAUAUAUAUNAAAUUAUAAUUAAAAAUAAAAAAUAAAAUUUUAGAACAAAAAUGGUGCACCGGGUGCACCAAAAAAGCCUCACUACUCUCCCAAAUGGAAGGCAGCAGGGCGAUGGCUCGGAUGCCACGUGGCGCCGAGCCAGGGUAUCCUCAAAUUAGCCUUUAUGGACACCAUGUCCAUAAAAUUUUUGUCCCUGGUUACGAAUAGCAAACCUGAAGGAACUUUUACAAAAGUGACAUCAUCAUUAUAAUAAUCAUCAUUAUUGUUAUGUUUUAAUGUUAAGGUUUGCGCGCAGAUAAGUUGUGCGGGCGGUGGGUUCGAGUACCAUGCAGGCAUGCAUACAUAUAUUGUCUAUAAAUAGAGGCGGCGUGGAAGCAGCUCUCCACCCAAUCCGUCUACCACCCAUUGAGAGAACAAACAUAUAGGCACAUACAGGCACAUAUAGCUAGCUAGCUAGAAGAGCCAUGGCUUCGAGCUUGGUGAGCUACCAGAUUACCCACGACAACAUCGCCUUGCUGCGCCUGUUGGGGACAGGGAAACACCUCCUCAGCCUGGCCCUCAUCAACGAUUUCAAUAAAGCAGUCAGGAGGGCCGUCGAUGACAAUGUGGUCGGCCUCAUAACCGUCCACAGCGGCAACUCGUUCUCGGGCGGCCUCGACUACAAUUCGGCCCCCGAGGCGGUGUUGGUGGGGGCGUUUGCGAGCCUGAUCGCAAGCCUCAUCAAGCUGCCAUUCCCGACGGUGGCCAAGGUGACGGGCCAAGCGUACGGGGCAGGAUUCACGCUGGCGCUCGCACAUGACUACUUGGUGCUAUCGACCGACUCCACUGUUAGUCUGUGCCAAAACGAGCUGACUGAGGGCCACGAGGUGCCGUCGUUUGCUGCGGCGCUGCUGUUCGGCAAGUUCCCGCCGUCGGCUGCUUGGGAGCUGGCAGUGUCGACAGUGCCAGUUGCCCCCCCAAAUUACUCGCCCAUAUCUGACUACGUGGGGAAGUACGUAGGGUGGAGCAUAGAUGAUGUUGCGACAAAACUGCUGGAGCCAGCUGCUGGCCGCGUCGGCACCGCUUACAGUGCCGUACGGAAGAGUCUGCUGGCCGAGGUGUGGGCGCUGGUGAAGCCCACAGUAACUCAAGCCUAGUUAAUUUGGGCCUGCAUGCAUAUAUGGUCGCCCCCUCGUAUGGCGUAGUAUGUAUCACCGUUAGUAGGUGCGUGUCUGUUGGCUUCGAGUCCGAGUCUGAAACAGUUUGUUGUGCUCGUAUUUUUCCCUUUGAAUUAAAUAGGGGGUGAUGUCCGUCGAGUCAGUCUCUGUCCUUGGCCUUGUACUGGUAAUAAAUUAUGCUUGUGUGUGUGUCUUUAUUUAUUAUUUCGAGUGUUUGCUCUUCCAUCUCUGCUUAAGGCUAUGUUAUUUGAACUAGACCUAAUUGAUCUAUCUGCUCAGAAAACACCAGCCCGAUACGGCUUGGCCUGGUCCGAUGGCCAUCCACUUGUUUCUUUUCCGGCUCAAGGCGGCCCAAAGACGUAAAAGCGCUUGGCGCCAUAGACGCACUUGGGACUCGAAGGACAGUCAUCAAAUUAAAAUGGGAUAAUUAAUUGCCUGUAUACUCUUCAAGGCGUCUAAAAUUUCUUAUAUACUAGGCAAAACUUUUCUUUUUUGUUUCAAAUAUGCCCCCCCCCAGGUAUAUUUCUUCCAUAUUCAAAAAUUACUCCUGCUAUUAGCACCCGUUAAAUCAUUACGGAUUAAAUUCCACUAAAGUUAAAAUUAAAUCAAAAUAUCUUUUUUUCCAUGACUUAAGAGCAAAUCAAUAAGAAAAAUUGGUGACGCUAGAAGAGUAUAUUUAAAAGUAAACAAGUCAAAAUGCCUCUUGUUGCCCCUAACUUAACGGCAAAUAAGAAAAGUUGGUGAUGAUAGAAGAGUAUAUUUGAUAAAGUAAAAUAAUAAUUUUACAGAGAUAACAAUUGUUCCUAACAGUUCACUAACAGAAUCUAACUGUAAAGAUAUAUUUUAAAAAACUUGGAACUUUUAAAAGUUAUUUUUAAUACUAGCCUUAUAAGAGAGAUAGAUACGAAAGUCGGAAUUCUUACAGGGGUAUAUAAGCAAUUAUCCCAAUUAAAAUAUAUACAAGAAAAUAGUAUUUUAUUGAUUUAUGAUCCUUACUUGUUUAUUUUCAUGUUACUGUAGUUGAUUAAGCUUAUAUAUCAAUUGAUUAUUUCAGCUAUCUCUGAUUCGUACUCUUUGUUCAUCGGUGGGUGCAACUUAUCUUUGACGACUAUUAAAAAAUAUAUUUUAUAUGUUUCUUGUCCCGCCGUUUUUAUAGAUGUUGCUCACAAUGUGGGUUGAAGUGUUGCAUGAGGUUGUGGUUAGUUAGCACCUAAAUAGCUGGUGCCAUGAACUCGCAUUACUAAUUUCCUAAUUUACUUUUCGGUUAUUAUUUCUUUUAUCAUAAUUAGAUUAUAUAUCUUAAACUUGUAGCCUUGAGUUUGAAACAUUUGUUGGAUUUACAUAUUCUUGACAUUUUUGCUUUUCUUUUGGAAAUUUAUGAAUCAGUUAUAAUUGUUCUAUGAUUCCUCCUUUUUAAGAUUCUUUGUUGUAAUUGUAGUUAUAUUGUCUGUGCUCCUACCUCGUACAUACACAAGGAAGACUCUGCCUGUAUAGAAAGAAAAAAUUUUGGGCAUGUAGGGGAUCUUUGCGCGUCUCCAACAAGAUUUAAAAAAAAGUAUAUAUAUACGUUUUUUUCGCAAACUCUAUUUUUUUCUGAAUAAAAGAGUUUACUAAAGAUAUUUUUUCUAAGGUUCUUGAGACAGUGACAGUUAAGCACUUAAAAUUAGGCUCAUAUAUCUUCUAUCUAACUACAUUAAAGGAGAGUUUGGGGAGACCAAAGGUAACACCUGUCCCCCCAAACACUCCUUUACUCUCUCUCUCUAUCUCUCUACUAAUUUUAAUAAAUUUUAUUUAAAUAAAUUUAAAUGUUAAAUUAUUUUUUAUAAUUUUUAUUUAAUUAAUAAUUAAAAUUAUAAAAAUAUUGACAAAGUAAAAUUUAUUAUAAAAAUAUUUUUAUAUCCGCAGCAUUCGGCGGGUAUUUCACUAAUAUAUAUACAGAGAGAGAGAGAGAGUCCAACUACCCUCUUAGGAGAACAGAAGACAUCGUUCUCCUAAAUCGUCACUUUUUAGUUAGAAAAUUCUUUAAAUCAUUUAAAAUAAAAUUUAUAUUCUUGACCCUGAUACAAGACUCCUAUUGUCACUUUUUAAGGAUUUUUAUUUUCAAUUGUCAUUUUUGUGUUCAAUUGAUAUAUAAAAAAAUAAUAUUGAAAAAAAUAUAAAAUUUGAUUUCUAAAUGCUUCAAGUAAUAUAUAUCAUAUUCAGCAAUAUCGAUCGUCGAUUUGAAGGCUUCACCAUAAAAAAUAAAUAAAUCACAACGAAAGCGUCAUCAUCAACUCUCUCUCUCUCUCUCUCUCUAAAUUAAAAUGAUACCCAAAGCUGCUACAAGAUAAUCAUGUGUACUAUAUAUAUAUUAAAAAAAUGGAGGGGCAUGUGGUAUUUGUACAACUAGGUUCAAGUCAACUUCAAAACCUUAGUAACAUGUUCUCCCUGGAGUAUCCAAAGCUCAGAAGAUCAAUUUUAAAACACUAACAAAUAAUGAUUCCUUGGUGGUGAAUAGUAUUAGCACUUGAUCACAUUGUCCGUUUGCCUUCACCGAAUAUAUAUAUAGGGCCUGUUUGGACUGGCUUCUGAAAAAAUAAUUUUGAUUUAGAGAAGUGAUCUUGAUUAAACGCUGUAAAGUGUUUGACUGAGUUUAGAUAAAAAUAAUUUUUCUAAAACAAUUUUGAAAAACUGUUUGGUAAAUUUUUUUUGAUGUUUGCAUCAAUUAAUAUUUUUAUUAAAUUUUAUUUUAAAAUAAUUUAAAAUCUAAAGUUAGAUUAGAAUUAAAAUUAAAAUUUUUAAUUUCCAAAAUAGUACAAAAUUUAAAAUUUGAUAUUUUAAUUUAAAAAAUAAUUUAAAAUUUUAAAACUUAAAAUAUAAAAUAAUUAUAAAAUUUAAAAUUCAAAAAUAUAAAUUAUAAUUAAAAAUAUAUAUAAUUAUUAAAUUUAAAAUAUAAAUUUUAAUAUUCCAAAAUAUAAAUUUAAAUUAAAAUUUCAAACUUUCAAUUUAAAUUAUAAAUUAAAUUUAAAAUUUAAAAUCUAAAUUUUAAAUUUGAAAUUUAAAAAUUAAAAUUAAAAACUUUAAAAAUAUAAAUAUUAUGAAAUUUAAAAUAUAAAAUAUUAUAUUUAAAAAUAUAUUUAAAUUUUAAAUUUCAAAGUUUAAAUUUAAAAUUUAAAAUUUAAAAUAGUUAUGAAAUUUAAAAUAAAAAUAUAAAAUUAAAUAUUUAAAAUUUAAAAUUUAAAAUUUGAAUAUUUAAAAUUUAAUUUUUUAAACUUAAAAUUUAAAUUAAAAAAUUAAAAUUUAUAAUUUGAAGAUUAAAAUUAUAAUUUAAAAUUUAAAAUUUUAAAUUUUUAAAUUUAAAUUUUAAAAUCUAAAAUGUCAAAUUUUAAAUUUUAUCUUAAAUUUGAAAUUUGAAAUUUUAAAAUCUAAAAUUUGAGAUGUGAAAUUUAAAAUUAAAAUUAAAAAUUUAAAAUUAAAAUUUAAAGUUGAAAUCUAUUUUCAAAUUUAAAAUUUGAAAGUUAAUAUUUUAAAAUUCAAAAAUGAAUCUGAAUAUUAAAAAUAAAAUUAAAUUUAAAUUUAAACAAUGAAUUUAAAAUUAAAAUAAAAAUUAGAGUUUGAAUCCAAAAUCAGAAUCAGAUUUCAAGAAGCAGUUUUUUUCUAUUUCUGAUUCUGAGGCCUUCAAAAUCAAUUUUCUGAUUCAAAAGUAGAAUCAGAUUUUUAAAAUGAGAUUGCAAGCUUUAUUGAUCCGAAAUUACUUGUUAACACAAAAGCGUUUUUUAAAAUUAGGCCAAACACCCCCAUAUAUAUAUAUAUAUAUAUAUUAUAUAUAUAUAUAUAUAUAUUAUUUUUGAGCUAGAAUACUUCUAUAGAAAACGGACUCUGUUGCCAUUCAUGUUUCGAUGAUGGAGCCUCCAAAUCGACGAUCGGCACCGUUAAACAUGAUCUUUACCAUUGAAGUGUUUAGAAAUCAAAUUUAAUACAUUUCGAUAUUGUUCUCUUAUCAUCGGAUGACACAAAAAUGAAUGACUCAAAAUAAAUAUUCUUUAAAAAAUGAUGAUAGGAGUUAUGUAAUCAAGAUCAAGAGUAUAGAUCUAUUUAAAAUAGUUUAAAGAAUUUUCUAUCAAAAAUUCAAUUGAUUUGGAUAUCUUUACGCCGUUAAACAAGAAAACGCCUCAUAUCGACCAUUAAAAUUAAAUUUUAAAACCCUUUAAUCAUUAGACAAAUGAUGUCGAAAAGAUUUGAAAUUUAAUUUCUAAACACUUCAAGUAGUAUAGAUCAUGUUCAACGGUACGAUCGUCAAUUUGGGUGCUCUAUCAUCGAAAACAAAUAGGUGGCAACGGAGCCCGUUUGCUAACGAUAGUAUUCUAGCUCAACUCUCUCUCUCUCUCUCUCUCUCUCUCUCUCUCUCUCUCUCUCUCUCUCUCUCUCUCUCUCUAUAUUAUAUAUUAUAUAUAUAUAUAUAGUGUAGAGUUACUAUGCUAUCGGAAGCAUAAAGAAGUUGGUCCUUUCGAUUAUUUAGCCCUUUGAUUAAAAAUUAUACGGUUAGAAUGAUAGUGAUCCCUUAGGGUUGAGUGGUCCCCCUAGGGUUGAAUAAUUUCCAUUCGGUCAUAAUAAUAAUCCAAUGAUUAAAAACGAUCAAGGGGAUUGACCCAAGGGCUAAAAAAUCGGAAGCACUAACUAUCUUAUGCUUCCGAUAACAUAGUAACUCUCUCUCUCUCUCUCUCUCUCUCUCUCUCUCUCUCUCUCUCUAUAUAUAUAUAUAUAUAUAUAUAUAUAACUAGGCUAUCAGUAGCACGGAGGCCUCCGUGCUACCAAGUUGUUUUCGACGAUGCGGCUUUCAAAUCAACGAUCGGCUCCGUUAAACUUAAUCUACACUAUUGAAAAUAUUUGAAAACUAAAUUUCAUAAUUUUUCAACAUUAUUUGGCUAGUGAUCAAAAGGUCUCAAAAAUUACAAUUUGAAUGGGCGAUAUGAUGUGUUUGUGAAUUUAAUAGUGUAAAAUAAUUCAAAUCUGAUUAAAUUUUUAGAGAAAACUCUUUUCACUAUUUAGAGUAAUAUUUGUACCUCUUAUCUUAAAUUAAGUCUUUUAUCAUUAUUUUUUAUGAGAUUUUUAUUUUCAGCCGUUCAUUUUUAGACUGUUUGAUAGGUAAUGAUGUCGAAAAAUUAUGAAAUUUAAUUUUCAAAUACUUUUUAUAGUGUAGAAAGUCUAAUGGAGUCGAUCUUUGAUUUGGAAACCGAAUCAUCGAAAACAAAUUGGUAGCACAGAGAUCUCCCUGUUACCGAUAGUAUACCAGUCGGACUAUAUAUAUAUAUAUAUAUAUAUAUAUAUAUAGGGUCCGGCUACUAUACUAUUAUGAGUACGAUCGCUCUCGUACUCGUAAAUCACUUUCAAUGAUAGAGCUUUCGAAUCGACGAUCCAUAUCGUUAAACGUUAUUUACAGCAGUUAAAACUUCUAGAAAUCAAAUUUUAUAAUUUUUAGAGAGACUUAAAUUUAAAUUUUUAAAACUUAAAAUUUAAAUUUAAAAAAUUAAAAAUUUAUAAUUUGAAGAUUAAAUUAUAAUUUAAAAUUUAAAAAUUUAAAAUUUUUAAAUUUAAAUUUUAAAAUCUAAAAUGUCAAUUUUAAAUUUUAUCUUAAAUUUGAAUUUGAAUUUUUAAAAUCUAAAAUUUGAGAUGUGAAAUUUAAAAUUAAAAUUUAAAAUUUAAAAUUUAAAAUUUAAAGUUUGAAAUCUAUUUUUCAAUUUUAAAAUUUGAAAGUUAAUAUUUAAAAUUCAAAAAUGAAUCUGAAUAUUAAAAUUUAAAUUAAAUUUAAAUUUAAACAUUGAAUUUAAAAUAAAUAAAAAAUUAGAAGUUUGAAUCCAAAAUCAGAAUCAGAUUUCAAGAAGCAGUUUUUUCUAUUUCUGAUUAUGGGGCCAUCAAAUUCAAUUUUCUGAUUCGAAAAGUAAGCAUCAGAUUUUAAAAAUGAGUUCGCCAACGCUUUAUUGAUCCGAAAUUACUUGUUAACCAAAAAGCGUUUUUUAAAAAUUAGGCCAAACACCCCAUAUAUAUAUAUAUAUAUAUAUUAUAUAUAUAUAUAUGAGCUAGAAUACUAUCUAUAGAAAACGGACUCUGUUGCCAUUCAUUUGUUUUCGAUGAUAGAGCCUCCAAAUCACGGAUCGGCACCGUUAAACAUGUAUCUAUACCACUUGAAGUGUUUAGAAAUCAAAUUUAAUACAUUUUCAAUAUUGUUCUCUUAUCCAUCGGAUGAACACAAAAAUGAAUGACUCAAAAAUAAAUAUUCUUUAAAAAAUGAUGAUAGGAGUCAUGUAAUCAAGAUCAAGAGUAUAGAUCUUAUUUAAAA
rnacentral:lncRNA from 1 species